UCAGCUGUUAUGUAAGCAGGACUCUGUCACGUGGCUCACAUUGUGAUCUAUUAUGCGACAUUUGGUUUGCAUAAUUAACAAAGUCAGGUCUCAGCGACCCGGAUGCUCCGGGACGGAUCUGACACCCGGGAGACGAGCGAGCAGCCGGGAGGCACGGACACAAACGACUCCUUACAUGAUCUGCGUCCGUGCGCCGCUCAGACGGAUGGAAGACGAGUUAAAGAGAUGACGAGCAUAAAAAAAAUCACAGAUGGCUUGACGUCGUUUGACUGACAGAUCUGAUUCCUCAGGGUUUUGUCAUUCAGGCAGGCAGUCCAGCAGGCAGCCCAGCACCGACUCUUUAAUCACCUGCGGAGACAAGAGGUCAACAACAUGACCGCUUCAACUGGAGACACGUUUCACUCCCAUUACUGAAUGGGCAGCACACCUGGAACUCCUCCUGACUCGGCAGCUCCACCCCGAAGAUGAUGUCCAGGUCCUUGUAGCUGGUUCCGUUGUCUCGAACCAGGACAUGGCUGGCUGUGGAGCCGUUCAGGCGAACAUCUCUAACCGCGAUUCCCUGAUCCUGCAGCCUAGCCCGCACCGCU